AGAGACGCAACGCAGACGCUGCCCAGACUGCCCUGAAGAGGGCGCUGCUGCUCUGUCUGACAUUCUCCUCAACAGAACCAUAUUCUGAUCCUCUCAAGCUCUGUCUGGUUGGAUGGGGAGCGUCGCUGCACAGCAAUCUUCAGGUCUCUCCAGAGAUGUUCGAUCUGGUUCAAGUCCGGGAUAUGGCUGGGCCACUCAAGAACAUUCAGAGACCUGUCCCGAAGCCACUCCUGCGUUGUCUUGGCUGUGUGGUUAAGGUCAUGUCAUGUUGGAAGGUGAACCUUCGCCCCAGUCUUAGGUCCUGAGCACUUUGGAGCAUGUUUUCAUCAAGGAUCUUUCUCCCAGUCCCUGCUGCUCAAAAACAUCCUCACAGCAUGAUGCUGCCAAGAAUCCCUGAACAUAAAUAUAGUGAGCCCAAACCAGAAGUAAGAACCUGGAAGGUAAGACAUUCUAAGGCUCUUUCUUGCAUGAGAGGUGAAAUGAAAUUUUAUCACCAUUAUAUUUAAAUUAUUAUGACACACCCAUUUUGACUGUAAGAAUUAAUUAAAUAAAUUAAUGAAAUGACUAGAUGUAUAACAAUGUACAUGCAAGUCUGUAUGAAGGCUGUAUAGAAAGACCAGGGCAUGGUGAAUAUUCCCUGUUGUCUCAUAGCUCACAGAUCACUGCACCUGUACAUAGCUCAUCUGUAAAUAGCCCAUCCAAUCUACCUCAUCCCCAUACUGUAUUUAUUUACUUAUCUUGCUUCUUUGCACCCCAGUAUCUCUACUUGCACAUUCAUCUUCUGUACAUUCUACCAUUCCAGUGUUUAAUUGCUAUAUUGUAAUUACUUCGCCACCAUGGCCUAUUUAUUGCCUUACCUCUCUUAUCCUACCUCAUUUGCACAUGCUGUAUAUAGAUAUAAAUAUAAAAAAUAGUGAGAGUACAGUACAGGCUCUACUGGCUGUUGGAUGCAGUUGGAUGCUGAAGUUGGAUGCUGAAUGUACUCUUGAACUCUCUCUCAAAUAGAUCCUUCAAUCUUUCGCCCAUCACACGAAACUCUGCAUUGUCCUUCAUUAAAAAAAGACAGACACAUUUGUAGAGAAAACAUAAUAAACAAACUAGAAAUGCAAUAAACAACUCAUUUAGCAAAGACGCAUUAGCACAAGUAAAGUUGACUAGCAUAAUUCCAAGAUUUUCAUGGAGUCUUCACAUUGGAUACUGCCGUAGUGCAGUCUUACCCUGUUAAAUGUGGCACAGUUGGUGAAGAUAAGCAACACAUCAGACACAAAGUGUUGCACCGACUGGUAGAGAUUCUGCUGCAGCUUCUCCACAACCCUGUCCAGCCAUAUAGGGGUCUUUAUCACACUGGUGUAGUUUCUCACCUGGCAAUGAAACACACAGAUGGAGAUAUAUGUUAACUUUGACACACACACACACACACACACACACACACACACACACACACACACACACACACACACACACACACACACACACACACACACACACACACACACACACACACAGACACAUCUGCACACAGACAGACAUGCACACAGACACGCACACACAGAGAGAGAACCAAGCAAACAUACAUUGAUGCAAGGAUCUUUCACAAAGAUGUGGUCCUCAUCUGCAUGGUAGAGACACAGCAGGAGGUACUGGCAUUCCUGUCAGAGUAAACACACCAUUAUGUGACUGAUCAAAGACUGUUUACAUUUUAAGUCUGAAUAAUUAUUUAAUGUCAAGUAUAUAGUGAUAUUUAUAAUGGACAGACAGACCGAUAGGUCGAUUGAUUGAAGGCAAUUUGCCCAAUGGUAGAUAUCAUUCAUUCAGGCUCCUCACCAGUGGGUGGUCAGAGAUUCGGCAGUUCAAGGCUUCCUCGUAGGUAAUUUGUGUGGGGUAACGCCACGACUGACUGGCCCUCAGUACACAGAAUGUACACAACCACGGACGAUCAUCCCUGUGAUUACACACACACACACACACACACACACACACACACACACACACACACACACACACACACACACACACACACACAACAUUUCAAUAGUGCACAAAUAAUCUGACAGCUAAGUUUACCAACACAGAACAAACAUACCUCUCUUGUAUCAAUCUCUUUCUCUCACUCUCUCUCAUCAACCCUCAACUCUUCUCACCCCAGCAUAGCGUCAUCCACAUUAGGAAGAUGACAUCUCUGAUGGAAGGAGCGAGGACACUCAUCACAGCAUAUCAAGCUACCCCAGCUUCUACAGAUGAAGCAGUCGUCAUCGUUAUCCUGACCAUGAUGCCAAGACAGAGAAGAGAGGAAGGUGGCUGAGUGGUUUCCCAUCCCACUGGAUGUCGUUCUUCCAGGAUGGAUCUUCCAGAGCUGACUCCCCCUUCACAAACUCCACCGGGGUCAUCCAGCGCAGCUCCGUACGGAUGCUCUUUCCACACGACCCUGGGGCAACAGAGAAGAUAGGGGCAGAAGGACAAACUCAAAUGAAUCCAAUAUGGGUCACUACAGCUGACCAGAGUGACAUAGGGCUAUGGGACCUCCGAACCGUGGACGAGGAACCAGGGCGGUGAUCCUGGAUUACAUUCAGUUGUUAAAGGUGACUGGGAGCUGGGUCUUGUAGAUGGGCCAGGUCCAGAUGUCAUCUUUCUCCCCCUUCCUGGAAGCAAAACCUGCAUGGGGAC